GAUGAACGCUGACAGAAUGCUUAACACAUGCAAGUCUUUGGCCAACCUGUGCUUGCACAGCCUAUCCAAGUCGGACGGGUCAGUAACGCGUAAAGAACUUGCCCUGCAGUCAGUGCUAACAGACGGAAACGACUGAUAAGACCCGGUAAAGUCAGACGGACUCAUGUCCAGCCUAAUGAAAAGUGAUGCUUCAGGAGAGCCUUGCGUCCUAUUAGCUUGUUGGUGGGGUAACGGCCCACCACGGCGAGGAGAGGUAGCCGGCCUGAGAGGGGGGACGGCCAAGAGGGGAAUGAGAUGCGGCACUGACGCCUACGGGAGGCAGCAGUGAGGAAUAUUGGACAAUGGGGGCAACCCUGAUGCAGCAAUUCUGUGUGCACGAUGAAGGUUUUCGGAUUGUAAAGUGGUUGCAGAAGGGAAGAAAAAAAUGACGGUACCUGCAGAAGAAGCGACGGCUAAAUACGUG
rnacentral:rRNA from 1 species